rnacentral:rRNA from 1 species
AUUGAACGCUGGCGGCAUGCUUUACACAUGCAAGUCGAACGGCCGCGCGGGCUUCGGCCUGGCGGCGAGUGGCGAACGGGUGAGUACUGCAUCGGAACGUGCCCAGUCGUGGGGGAUAGCCCGGCGAAAGCCGGCUUAAUCCCGCAUACGACCUGAGGGUGACAGCGGGGGACCGAAAGGCCUCGCGCUAUUGGAGCGGCCGAUGUCGGAUUAGCUAGUUGGUGGGGUAAAGGCUUACCAAGGCGACGAUCCGUAGCUGGUCUGAGAGGACGACCAGCCACACUGGGACUGAGACACGGCCCAGACUCCUACGGGAGGCAGCAGUGGGGAAUUUUGGACAAUGGGGGCAACCCUGAUCCAGCCAUGCCGCGUGCGGGAAGAAGGCCUUCGGGUUGUAAACCGCUUUUGUUCGGGAAGAAAUCCUCUGGGCUAAUACCCCGGGGGGAUGACGGUACCGGAAGAAUAAGCACCGGCUAACUACGUG